AGUGAACGCUGGCGGUAGGCCUAACACAUGCAAGUCGAACGGCAGCACAGUAAGAGCUUGCUCUUACGGGUGGCGAGUGGCGGACGGGUGAGGAAUACAUCGGAAUCUACUUUUUCGUGGGGGAUAACGUAGGGAAACUUACGCUAAUACCGCAUACGACCUACGGGUGAAAGCAGGGGAUCUUCGGACCUUGCGCGAUUGAAUGAGCCGAUGUCGGAUUAGCUAGUUGGCGGGGUAAAGGCCCACCAAGGCGACGAUCCGUAGCUGGUCUGAGAGGAUGUUCAGCAACACUGGACCUGAGACACGGUCCAGACUCCUCGGGGAGGAGGAAGUGGGGAAUAUUGGCCAAUGGGCGAAAGCCUGACCCAGCAAUCCCGCGUGGGUGAAGAAGGCCUUCGGGUUGUAAAGCCCUUUUGUUGGGAAGAAAAGCAGCAGGUUAAUACCCCGCUGUUCUGACGGUACCCAAAGAAUAAGCACCGGCUAACUUCGUG
rnacentral:rRNA from 1 species